UAUGAGGAAGAUGAAGCAGAGUCUACAUCUGAAGACGAUGUGGAAGAUCGUCGCAAUGAGUUGCAACAUUUUUCAUCGGAUUAUCAGACUGCAAGCUAUGUUGAGCAUGAACAUGGCUCGCGCGAUUGGGAUAUUCCAUUUCUGCACAUUGAAAGCAUAUUACAGUUGGGGUGGGAAGAGUAUCAUCCAAUAGCCUACGGACUGCUCGAGGUAGGGG
rnacentral:lncRNA from 1 species